rnacentral:rRNA from 1 species
GAUGAACGCUGGCGGCGUGCUUAACACAUGCAAGUCGAACGAUGAAGCCCAGCUUGCGGGGUGUGUUAGUGUCGCACGGGUGAGUAACACGCGAGUAACCUGCCCUUGUCUCUGUGAUAAGCCUGGGAGACUCGGUCGCUUACUGGAUAUAACUUCUCAUCGCAUGGUGGGGGGGGGAGAGAUUUAUUGGUCUUGGAUGGACUCGCGGCCUAUCAGCUUGUUGGUGAGGUAAUGGCUCACCAAGGCGACGACGGGUAGCCGGCCUGAGAGGGUGACCGGCCACACUGGGACUGAGAUACGGCCCAGACUCCUACGGGAGGCAGCAGUGGGGAAUAUUGCACAAUGGGCGCAAGCCUGAUGCAGCGACGCCGCGUGAGGGAUGACGGCCUUCGGGUUGUAAACCUCUUUCAGUAGGGAAGAAGCGAGAGUGACGGUACCUGCAGAAGAAGCGCCGGCUAACUACGUG